CGUGUCCUAUCGAUCCUUUAACUUUACAAGUAUUAAGCUAGAGGUGUCAGAAAAGUUACCACAGGGAUAACUGGCUUGUGGCUGCCAAGCGCUCAUAGCGACGUAGCUUUUUGAUCCUUCGAUGUCGGCUCUUCCUAUCAUUGUGAAGCAGAAUUCACAACGUGUCGGAUUGUUCACCCGUUAAUAGGGAACGUGAGCUGGGUUUAGACCGUCGUGAGACAGGUUAGUUUUACCCUACUGAUGAAUUGAUGUUGCGACAGUUAGUCUAACCUAGUACGAGAGGAACAGUUAGAUCAGAUACUUGGUUAAUACGGUUAGCUGAACAGCUAAUGCCGUGACGCUACCAUCCUGUCGGAUUAUGACUGAAAGCCUCUAAGUCAGAAUCCGUGCUGGAAAGCAACUUCUAGUAGUAAUAAAUG
rnacentral:rRNA from 1 species